ACACCGCUGGUGAAGUUGUUACCAUGGUUGCCUUCCAUAGGGAGGUCACUAGCUGGUGGAAAUCUCAGCAAGCGGCUCGGGUUCGAUUCCCGAACGGUGUA